AGCGAACGUUAGCGGCGGGCCUAACACAUGCAAGUCGAACGCGAAAGGUCUUCGGACUGAGUAGAGUGGCGCACGGGUGAGUAACACGUAGGUAAUCUACCCUUUGGCGGGGGAUAACGUUCCGAAAGGAGCGCUAAUACCGCAUAAGACCACGGAGUCUCCGGACGCUGUGGGAAAAGGUGGCCUCUUCUUGAAAGCUACCACCGAAGGAUGAGCCUGCGUCCCAUCAGCUAGUUGGUAAGGUAAUGGCUUACCAAGGCGAAGACGGGUAGCUGGUUUGAGAGAAUGAUCAGCCACACUGGCACUGGAACACGGGCCAGACUCCUACGGGAGGCAGCAGUGAGGAAUAUUGGGCAAUGGGCGAAAGCCUGACCCAGCCACGCCGCGUGAGUGAUGAAGGCCUUCGGGUCGUAAGACUCUGUGGGGGAGGAA
rnacentral:rRNA from 1 species